UCUCCGUAGGUGAACCUGCGGAGGGAUCAUUACAGAGUUCAUGCCCUACCGGGUAGAUCUCCCACCCUAUUUUAUUAUUACUUGGUUGCUUGGGCGGGCCGCCAGGCUCCGGCCCGACUACCGGCCCCCGCUGGUAAGCGCCCGCCAGAGGACCCUAAACCCUGCAUAUUAGUGUCGACUGAGUACUAUAUGAUAAAUAAAACUAUAAACAACCGAUCGCUUGUUUCUUGCAUCGAUAAAGAACGCAACAGAACGGAAAAGCACACGACUGAACUUCAC
rnacentral:misc_RNA from 1 species